rfam:Paenibacillus ferrarius strain CY1 CY1_scaffold24, whole genome shotgun sequence.
CAUAUCGUGAGGUGAAAUCUGAAGGAAGCUGGAGGCAAAAUUCCGACCCGAGGAACACGAAUAUCUAUGGGAUGAGUCUGUAACACAAGCCGAAGUCCAAUCAACUACACGGAUAUACCAAUGUAAAUGAUGCGGGUACAUGGAAGGAAAAUGAAUCGU